rnacentral:tRNA from 1 species
GAUGCAUUGGUGUUAAUGGCUAGCAUACAAGUCUGUGGAGCUUGUGGAAAGGGUUCAAAUCCCUUAUGUGUCC